rnacentral:misc_RNA from 1 species
GAUGAAGAACGUAGCGAAAUGCGAAAAGUAAUGUGAAUUGCAGAAUUCAGUGAAUCAUCGAAUCUUUGAACGCACAUUGCGCCCGCCAGUAUUCUGGCGGGCAUGUCUGUCUGAGCGUCAUUUCAACCCUCAUGCCCCUAGGGCGUGGUGUUGGGGAUCGGCCAGCGCCCGCGAGGGACGGCCGGCCCCUAAAUCUAGUGGCGGACCCGUCGUGGCCUCCCCUGCGAAGUAGUGAUAUUCCGCAUAGGAGAGCGACGAGCCCCUGCCGUUAAACCCCCAACUUUCUAAGGUUGACCUCAGAUCAGGUAGGAAUACCCGCUGAACUUAAGCAUAUCAAUAAGCGGAGGA